UGUAGGCAUGAGUAACGAUAAGAAAGGCGAGAAACCUUUCCGCCGAUAGUCUAAGGUUUCCUGAACAACAAUAAUCGGUUCAGGGUCGGUCGGGUCCUAAGGCGAAGCCGAACGGCGUAGUCGAUGGAUAACUGGUUAAUAUUCCAGUACCUGUUCUGCUGCGAUGGGGUGACGAAGAAGUGAAAGCGCGGCGCACAUACGGAAUUGUGCGUUGAAGGUCGUAGGUAUAUCUUUGGUUGGCAAAUCCGCCAGAGAUGCUGAAAGCUGAUAGUAUGCUGAGUCGCAAGACAAGGCAAUAAGCGUGUAAUCCUGCUUCCAAGAAAAACCCCUAAGCUCCAGGCAUGAACAGCCCGUACCGCAAACCGACACAGGUAGACAAGUAGAAUAUACUAAGGCGCUCGAGUGAUCCGUGGCUAAGGAACUAGGCAAAUUAACCCCGUAACUUCGGGAAAAGGGGUACCCUACGCAAGUAGGGUCGCAGAGAAAUGGCGGUGGCGACUGUUUAUCAAAAACACAGGGCUAUGCGAAAACGAAAGUUGAUGUAUAUGGCCUGAAACCUGCCCGGUGCCGGAAGGUUAAGAGGAGAGGUUAGGAGCAAUCCAAAGCUUUGAAUCGAAGCCCCGGUAAACGGCGGCCGUAACAAUAACGGUCCUAAGGUAGCGAAAUUCCUUGUCGGGUAAGUUCCGACCUGCACGAAUGGUUUAACGAUCUCCGCUCUGUCUCAGCCACGAGCUCGGUGAAAUUGUGGUAUCAGUGAAGACGCUGAUUACCCGUCACGGGACGGAAAGACCCCAUGCACCUUUACUAUAGCUUAGCAUUGACUUCGGGUAAAUGAUGUGUAGCAUAGCUGGGAGGCUUUGAAGCAGUGGCGCCAGCCAUUGUGGAGCCAACACUGAAAUACCAGCCUUUAUUUAUUUGGAGUCUAACUCUUGCAAAAGAGGACAUUGCUUGGUGGGUAGUUUGACUGGGGUGGUCGCCUCCGAAAGGGUAUCGGAGGCUUUCAAAGGUUUUCUCAGUACGCUUGGUAACCGUACGUAGAGUGCAAUAGCAUAAGAAAGCUUGACUGUGAGGCCGACAAGCCGAGCAGGAUCGAAAGAUGGAUAUAGUGAUCCGGUGGUUCCGUAUGGAAGGGCCAUCGCCCAUAGGAUAAAAGGUACGCUGGGAUAACAGGCUGAUCCCUCCCAGGAGCUCACAUCGACGGGGGGGUUUGGCACCUCGAUGUCGGCUCGUCACAUCCUGGGGCUGGAGAAGGUCCCAAGGGUUCGGCUGUUCGCCGAUUAAAGUGGCACGCGAGCUGGGUUCAGAACGUCGUGAGACAGUUCGGUCCCUAUCUGUGAUGGGCGUUGGAAAAUUGAGGGGCGCUGACUCUAGUACGAGAGGACCGAGUCGGACGUACCGCUAGUGUACCUGUUGUUUCGCCAGAGGCACCGCAGGGUAGCUAUGUACGGAUGAGAUAAGCGCUGAAAGCAUCUAAGUGCGAAACUCACCUCAAGAUAAGUUUUCCUUUAAGGACCGUAGAAGACUACUACGUUGAUAGGCGACAGGUGUAAAGACAGUAAUGUCAAAGCCGAGUCGUACUAAUGGUCC
rnacentral:rRNA from 1 species